CCUGGGGACUCCCUGGAUCCUCCUUGGACAUCUCCAGACUCUUCUGCAUGAGUCCAGAACCCCCUGGAUGCCCCCAAACCUCUCUAGGACGUCUCCAGAUCCCUCGGCACGAUUCUAAGUGGGGAAAAGGUGGGCUGAAGGGGGGGGGAAAGGGGUUAGUGGGGCUUCUGUGGGGUGGAAAGGGAGUCUGGGGGUGGAGAGGGGGUUGUGUGGAAUCUUGGGGGGGGGAGAAUGUGUGAGUGGGGCUUCUGUGGGGUGGAGGGAGGGGAGAGCUGGGGGUCGCAGGGGGGGUUUCUAUGGGACAUAAAGGGGGUCCCGUUGGGGGAUACUGGGGGUCAAAAUGGGGGAGCGGACUCCAGAGGUCAGGGAGGAGGGCAUGGGGGGUACAGGGGACUCCAGGGGUCAGCACAUGGGGUCAGCAGGGGGGAGGGAGAAGGAAG
ensembl:lncRNA